rnacentral:rRNA from 1 species
UUAAUUCAUACAUCUUAUUUAAUUUCUGUUGUUUAUUUAUUUAUUUUUAUUUGAUGUUAAGAUUAAGGGGGAUUAGCUCCUUGUUCUGUUUUUAUAAUUUGUCUUGUGGUUUAAUUUAGUUUUGUGGAUUUUAUGGUGAUUUUCUAUUUGAUUAUGUUAAAAUUUUAUUUGUUCUUUUUUUAAUUUUUUAUUAUUUAAGUUAUUUAUUGAAAUGUUUUCUUUACUCUGGUUUGUAUAGUAAUUAUUGUGUAAUUAGUAAAUUUUUUAUUGGUUGUUUUGUGAGAUGGUAGGUGUUAAUUGCUUUUGAGGAAUUCGGCAAAGUUUUAUGUCCGCCUGUUUAACAAAAACAUCUUUUCUUGUUAGUUUUUGAAGUAUGGCCUGCCCACUGACUUAGAGUUGAAGGGCCGCGGUAUUUUGACCGUGCAAAGGUAGCAUAAUCAUUAGUUCUUUAAUUGUGAUCUGGUAUGAAUGGCUUGACGAGACAUAAGCUGUCUUAGAAGUAUUGAUUUAUUGAAUUUGGUUUUUGAGUUAAAAUUCUUAAAUGUUUUUAUGGGACGAGAAGACCCUAUAGAGUUUGACAAUUUUCCUAUUUAUUCGUUGUUUGUUUUAUUUAUAUUGAGUGGGAGUGAGUUGUUUUGUUGGGGUGAUGGGAGGAAUAUUGUUUAACUCCUCUUUGUUUUUAUAUAUUUGUGUAUAUAUUUUUGAUCCAUUUAUUUUGAUUAUAAGAUUAAAUUACC